rnacentral:rRNA from 1 species
CUGGCNAUCAGGACAGCAGACAGGGAUGCCGGAAUCGGUGGUGUAGCGGUGAAAUGCUUAGAUAUCACGAAGAANUCCGAUCGNGAAGGCAGGUGUCCGGGCUGCAACUGACGCUGAGGCUCGAAAGUGUGGGUAUCAAACAGG